rnacentral:misc_RNA from 1 species
GAUGAAGAACGUAGCGAAACGCGAUAAGUAAUGUGAAUUGCAGAAUUCAGUGAAUCAUCGAAUCUUUGAACGCACAUUGCGCCCGCCAGUAUUCUGGCGGGCAUGCCUGUCUGAGCGUCAUUUCAACCCUCAUGCCCCUAGGGCGUGGUGUUGGGGAUCGGCCAAAGCCCGCGAGGGACGGCCGGCCCCUAAAUCUAGUGGCGGACCCGUCGUGGCCUCCUCUGCGAAGUAGUGAUAUUCCGCAUCGGAGAGCGAUGAGCCCCUGCCGUUAAACCCCCAACUUUCCAAGGUUGACCUCAGAUCAGGUAGGAAUACCCGCUGAACUUAAGCAUAUCAAUAAGCGGAGGA